UACAGAGGGUGCGAGCGUUAAUCGGAAUUACUGGGCGUAAAGGGUGCGCAGGCGGUUCUGCAAGUCAGGCGUGAAAUCCCCGGGCUCAACCUGGGAAUUGCAUUGGAGACUGCAAGGCUAGAAUCUGGCAGAGGGGGGUAGAAUUCCACGUGUAGCAGUGAAAUGCGUAGAGAUGUGGAGGAACACCGAUGGCGAAGGCAGCCCCCUGGGUCAAGAUUGACGCUCAUGCACGAAAGCGUGGGGAGCAAACAGG
rnacentral:rRNA from 1 species